UAGGAAGGCAGCAGUGGGGAAUAUUGCACAAUGGGCGCAAGCCUGGUGCAGCCAUGCCGCGUGUAUGAAGAAGGCCUUCGGGUUGUAAAGUACUUUUCAGUCGUGAGGAAGGUGUUAAGGUUAAUAACCUUAGCAAUUGACGUUAGCGACAGAAGAAGCACCGACUAACUCCGUGCCAGCAGCCGCGGUAAUACGGAGGGUGCGAGCGUUAAUCGGAAUUACUGGGCGUAAAGGGCACGCAGGCGGUUAAUUAAGUUGGAUGUGAAAUCCCCGGGCUUAACCUGGGAAUGGCAUUCAAGACUGGUUAGCUAGAGUCUUGUAGAGGGGGGUAGAAUUCCAUGUGUAGCGGUGAAAUGCGUAGAGAUGUGGAGGAAUACCGGUGGCGAAGGCGGCCCCUGGGACAAAGGACUGACGCUCAUGUGCGAAAGCGUGGGGAGCGAAACAGGGAU
rnacentral:rRNA from 1 species